ensembl:lncRNA
CGCCGGGGCCCGGCCUGGCUGUCAGCACCCAGCAGGAUAGAGCCUGAUGUUUGUCAGCUCCUGGCCAACCAGGUUCCGUUUUGAAGAGGCACACUUCUUAAAAGACAAACUCUGCACGUAUGACUGUGAAAAUGACAGUGGAAGGGAAAAUGAUCGGCAGUGCCUGAGACUCCAAGCUCCCAGUUUAGGGGGCCCGGGUUCAAUCCCUGGUCAGGAAUCUGGGACCUCCCUCCACCCCCACCAUGCCGGAACUAAAAACAAUGCUGCCUCCCUCGACCAACAAAGAUGGAGGAUCCCACAACUGGAG